rnacentral:lncRNA from 1 species
UCUAAGCAGGUGUAAGAGAGAGAUAGGCUGUUGACAGAUGGCGAGGAAGGCAAAGGGAAAGAAGAGCGAAGGAGGGAAACAACAACCAAAUCCACAUUGUUGUUGUGAGCAAGAGGUAAGAUCAUUUCAACCCUUUUCAAUUCGAAUUUGAGUUUAAAGUGCAUGUUAAUUCAUUUAAAUCGCAUUAGGAAGGUAUAGAAUGGAAAUCUAGAAUACAUGUCUAUUUCCUUAUCUUUGAAAUAAAUGUUAAAUACGGGUGUGUUAGUGUUUGAAGAAGAGGUCUCAGAUGUGUUGGUGGUUCGAGUAUUCUGU